rnacentral:lncRNA from 1 species
CAAGGAGAUGACCAACCUGGUAAGAAGGUGGCUUGGAAGAUUUCUCCCCGCUCACCUUAUCGCUGAUGUCCCACUGAAGGACAUCAGUUUCAAGGACACAAGCCUCCAGUUGGAAAACGAUGACCUCUGUCUUGGAGAGGAAGCACAAAUGUUCUUGGAGGACAACAUUGAUGAGCUUUCCUCUUCAGUCCCAGAGCUUCUUAAGGCAGUGAGAGACUUCUUUGUAGCUGUUACCCAGGGGCGGCCUUCCCUACAGGCGGGUUAGGCGGCCGCCUAGAGCGCCAUCUAGAGGGGGAGCGCAAAAUAGUGCGUCCAAAAAAAUAAAAUAAAAAUCUUAUCGGCCCCCCCCCCCCCCCCGUCAACAAUCUCGCCUAGAGCGCCAAAUGUGCUGGGGCCGCCCCUGCUGUUACCACCAAGAUGAUGUCAGCAUUUCCCCUGGACAACAUCAUGCUCCAGAAC